UACGUAGGGGGCAAGCGUUGUCCGGAUUUACUGGGCGUAAAGCGUGCGCAGGCGGUUGUGCAAGACAGAUGUGAAAUCCCCGGGCUCAACCUGGGAAUUGCAUUUGUGACUGCACAGCUAGAGUGUGUCAGAGGGGGGUAGAAUUCCACGUGUAGCAGUGAAAUGCGUAGAGAUGUGGAGGAAUACCGAUGGCGAAGGCAGCCCCCUGGGAUAACACUGACGCUCAUGCACGAAAGCGUGGGGAGCAAACAGG
rnacentral:rRNA from 1 species